UCCAGACUCCUACGGGAGGCAGCAGUGAGGAAUAUUGGUCAAUGGGCGAGAGCCUGAACCAGCCAAGUCGCGUGAGGGAUGACUGCCCUAUGGGUUGUAAACCUCUUUUGUAUGGGGGGAAUAAGCUUUACGAGUAGAGUGAUGACAGUACCAUACGAAUAAGCAUCGGCUAACUCCGUGCCAGCAGCCGCGGUAAUACGGAGGAUGCGAGCGUUAUCCGGAUUUAUUGGGUUUAAAGGGUGCGUAGGCGGAAUAUCAAGUCAGCGGUAAAAAUUCGGGGCUCAACCCCGUCGUGCCGUUGAAACUGAUGUUCUUGAGUGGGCGAGAAGUAUGCGGAAUGCGUGGUGUAGCGGUGAAAUGCAUAGAUAUCACGCAGAACUCCGAUUGCGAAGGCAGCAUACCGGCGCCCAACUGACGCUGAAGCACGAAAGCGUGGGUAUCGAACAGGAUUAGAUACCCGUGUAA
rnacentral:rRNA from 1 species